rnacentral:lncRNA from 1 species
GUGACAUCACUAGCUGCCAGGAGGUAGCAAGUAUCAGGUUACUCUUUUGGUGUAGAAGAGGCAUGAUGGGAAGAGGAAGCCUGUCCUUUGUUGGGAGGAGUCGUUUUAACAUGGAGGCUGCCCCUGUGGUAGCCAUCUUAAGGUUCUACUGUGUUAUCUUUGAGAGCCACUCCAGGGACUGGUGAAGUAUACUUCUAAGUGUGUCUGGAUAGAUCAUAAGGCAUUGCUUUCAUUCCCUGCUAUUUCGACAGCUGCCAUAAACUAAGCAGCUUUUCUCUACCACACCCUUUUACCACAUCUCUGCCUUGGAGCCAGCCAGCUAAUCAUGGACCAAAAACAUGAGCAAAUUAAACUCCUCCUCCUUAAAAUGUGAGUGUUGGGGUCAU